GGGGGGAUGCUACCAUGCAGUCGAACGGUAACAGGAAGCAGCUUGCUGCUUUGCUGACGAGUGGCGGACGGGUGAGUAAUGUCUGGGAAACUGCCUGAUGGAGGGGGAUAACUACUGGAAACGGUAGCUAAUACCGCAUAACGUCGCAAGACCAAAGAGGGGGACCUUCGGGCCUCUUGCCAUCGGAUGUGCCCAGAUGGGAUUAGCUUGUUGGUGGGGUAACGGCUCACCUAGGCGACGAUCCCUAGCUGGUCUGAGAGGAUGACCAGCCACACUGGAACUGAGACACGGUCCAGACUCCUACGGGAGGCAGCAGUGGGGAAUAUUGCACAAUGGGCGCAAGCCUGAUGCAGCCAUGCCGCGUGUAUGAAGAAGGCCUUCGGGUUGUAAAGUACUUUCAGCGGGGAGGAAGGGAGUAAAGUUAAUACCUUUGCUCAUUGACGUUACCCGCAGAAGAAGCACCGGCUAACUCCGUGCCAGCAGCCGCGGUAAUACGGAGGGUGCAAGCGUUAAUCGGAAUUACUGGGCGUAAAGCGCACGCAGGCGGUUUGUUAAGUCAGAUGUGAAAUCCCCGGGCUCAACCUGGGAACUGCAUCUGAU
rnacentral:rRNA from 1 species